GCAUGAAAAACCAAUGCCACACACAUCCACAAGGCACACUGGCACACUUAGGGAACAGCUGUGAAAAAUCUCAUACAUUAGCCAACUUCUCUUCCGAGAUCAGUCCUGGACAUACGGUGUGAAUCAUGUCUGGAAUCGGCUUACUAAAUAUAUACAUCAUCGGAACUGCAUUUUCUCUUCUGGUGGCUCUGUUUGGACUGGUUGAUUCUGUUGGGGGUCUGAUGUAUCCUCAAGGAUCUGGCCAUGCAGACGACAAUUGGACAAAGGAACAUACUCCAGUGUCUCCAUCACAGACUGCUGCUGCUGCCCACAUUAAACGGAUUGGAUUGAGAUGAUCUUCCGCAUGGAUCUUGCAUGUUCUUCUUCUCCACUGUCUUUGGGAGCAGGUCUUCAAUUGCACUAGCAGAAAUACUAUUAAGGUCACUGACCAACUACGUACUGUACAUGCAGUAUGGAAAUGAUCUUUUUCUACACUACUGUGAGAAAUACCUGAAAGGGAUACGUAAAUGAAGAACAUGUGAUGUGGACUGGUACAAACAGAUCAGAUGUGAUACUGUACAAACUGUUGCAAUUUGUGUUUCUGCAAAGACCUUGUCUGGAAAUAUACUACACUGUAAAAAUUGGAUAUGUUGAUACCUUAAGGGACAUUUCUACUUGAUCUACCCCAAUGAAGCCAAGUUGAUUCAGUCAUAUUAAAUAACAUUUUUGACAUGAAUAAAGCCAGUUAAUUAAAAUGUUACAACAUGAAACAAUUUGUUGUGAUCAAGUUACCUGCUAUUUUAUAAAGUGUAAAAAGACAUGAGGCAGCUGUACCAGAAUAUACUGUACAAAGAAUUAAUGUGGCACUAACAAAAGUUAAAUAACGCUUUGCACUGUAAAGAAAAUAAAAUACUGCAAACAUGUUUACAUUUACUGGCUGCUCUAAAAAGUAGAAAUCCCUGAUCAAAAAACCUUUUUGUAAUCCUUUCCCUGAAUGUUUAUACUAAUACAUCAAUAAAGUAAUUCUUCUUCAA